rnacentral:rRNA from 1 species
GACGAGCGCUGGCGGCGUGCCUAAUACAUGCAAGUAGGACGCACAGUUUAUACCGUAGCUUGCUACACCAUAGACUGUGAGUUGCGAACGGGUGAGUAACGCGUAGGUAACCUGCCUAUUAGAGGGGGAUAACUAUUGGAAACGAUAGCUAAUACCGCAUAACAGUAUGUAACACAUGUUAGAUGCUUGAAAGAUGCAAUUGCAUCGCUAGUAGAUGGACCUGCGUUGUAUUAGCUAGUAGGUAGGGUAAUGGCCUACCUAGGCGACGAUACAUAGCCGACCUGAGAGGGUGAUCGGCCACACUGGGACUGAGACACGGCCCAGACUCCUACGGGAGGCAGCAGUAGGGAAUCUUCGGCAAUGGGGGGAACCCUGACCGAGCAACGCCGCGUGAGUGAAGAAGGUUUUCGGAUCGUAAAGCUCUGUUGUUAAGGAAGAACGAGUGUGAGAAUGGAAAGUUCAUACUGUGACG